rnacentral:rRNA from 1 species
GAUGAACGCUGGCGGCGUGCCUAAUACAUGCAAGUCGAGCGAACGGACGAGAAGCUUGCUUCUCUGAUGUUAGCGGCGGACGGGUGAGUAACACGUGGAUAACCUACCUAUAAGACUGGGAUAACUUCGGGAAACCGGAGCUAAUACCGGAUAAUAUUUUGAACCGCAUGGUUCAAAAGUGAAAGACGGUCUUGCCGUCACUUAUAGAUGGAUCCGCGCUGCAUUAGCUAGUUGGUAAGGUAACGGCUUACCAAGGCAACGAUGCAUAGCCGACCUGAGAGAGUGAUCGGCCACACGGGAACUGAGACACGGUCCAGACUCCUACGGGAGGCAGCAGUAGGGAAUCUUCCGCAAUGGGCGAAAGCCUGACGGAGCAACGCCGCGUGAGUGAUGAAGGUCUUCGGAUCGUAAAACUCUGUUAUUAGGGAAGAACAUAUGUGUAAGUAACUGUGCACAUCUUGACGGUACCUAAUCAGAAAGCCACGGCUAACUACGUG